UACGGAGGGUGCAAGCGUUAAUCGGAAUUACUGGGCGUAAAGCGCGCGUAGGCGGUUUGUUAAGCUGGAUGUGAAAGCCCCGGGCUCAACCUGGGACGUGCAUCCGAUACUGGCAAGCUAGAAUGCAGUAGAGGGAGGUGGAAUUUCCGGUGUAGCGGUGAAAUGCGUAGAGAUCGGAAGGAACACCAGUGGCGAAGGCGGCCACCUGGACUGAUACUGACACUGAGGUGCGAAAGCGUGGGGAGCAAACAGG
rnacentral:rRNA from 1 species